GACGAACGCUGGCGGCGUGCUUAACACGUGCAAGUCGAACGGAAAGGCCCUGCUUUUUGGGGUUCUCGAGUGGCGAACGGGUGAGUAACACGUGAGUAACCUGCCCUUGACUUUGGGAUUACUUCAGGAAACUGGGGCUAAUACCCGAUAGGAGCUCCUGCUGCAUGGUGGGGGUUGGAAAGUUUCGGCGGUUGGGGAUGGACUCGCGGCUUAUCAGCUUGUUGGUGGGGUAGUGGCUUACCAAGGCUUUGACGGGUAGCCGGCCUGAGAGGGUGACCGGCCACAUUGGGACUGAGAUACGGCCCAGACUCCUACGGGAGGCAGCAGUGGGGAAUAUUGCACAAUGGGCGGAAGCCUGAUGCAGCAACGCCGCGUGCGGGAUGACGGCCUUCGGGUUGUAAACCGCUUUCGCCUGUGACGAAGCGUGAGUGACGGUAAUGGGUAAAGAAGCACCGGCUAACUACGUG
rnacentral:rRNA from 1 species